rnacentral:rRNA from 1 species
AUUGAACGCUAGCGGGAUGCUUUACACAUGCAAGUCGAACGAGUGGCGGACGGGUGAGUAAUAUCUCGGAAAGUGCCCAGUAGCGGGGGAUAACUACUCGAAAGAGUAGCUCAUACCGCAUCCCAUUAGAGCGGCCCCUAUCGGAUUAGCUAGUUGGUGGGGUAAAGGCUAACCAAGGCACCGAUCCGUAGCUGGUUGGAGAGGACGACCAGCCACACUGGAACUGAGACACGGCCCAGACUCCUACGGGAGGCAGCAGUGGGGAAUUUUGGACAAUGGGGGAAACCCUGAUGCAGCCAUCCCGCGUGUAUGAGAAGGCCUGCGGGUUGUAAAGUACUUUCGGCAGGGAAGCGGUAUCUGCAGAAUAAGCACCGGCGAACUACGUGCCAGCAGCCGCGGUAAUAC